AUACAUUGGAUAUGUGCAGGUUCCCAUUCGUUUCCUGGGGAGCCAUGUGUCCCUGAGGCCAGAGAGUCUCCUCACCCAGCUCAGACUGAAUGCUUUUGUUUUUGUUUCAGGGCAUUUGCACGCCAAAGGCAAAGAAGAAAAAAUGUCCAAAUCAUUAAAGAACUACAUUACUAUUAAGCCAUCGACUACAGUGACAGCGCCAUGCUCCAAGCUCAGCAGCUGCUCCUGGGGCUGGGCUCUUUCCUGGAGGACGCACGUGCCUACAUGAAGGGGCAGCUGGCCUGCGGCUCCGUCAGGGAAGCGAUGCUGUGGGAGAGGUAAGAGGCCCGCCUAGCACCCGGCGUGGCACCCCUCCUGUGGCCUGCUGGGUGCUGCUGGUGGGCUCUUGAAGGGGAAGAGGGGCCCCCAGGAGACAGGGCGCUGGACAGGAGGUUUGGGGUCAGGGACUGCCCAGAGAGGCCCCAGGAGACAGGGUGCUGGGCAGGAGGUGCAGGUGUGGGGUCAGGGGCUCCCCAGAGGCCACAGGGGACUGGGAGCUGGACAGGAGGUGUGGGGUCAGGGGCUCCCCAGAGGCCACAGGACACUGGGUGCUGGACAGGAGGUGUGGGGUCAGGGGCUCCCGAGACAUCCCAGGGAGACGGCGCUGGCAGGAAGUGUGCCUGGGGCCCUCGGGCUCUGAGCCCCCUGCUCAGAGUGGCUUUGGGCUCGGGUUCCCUGUGCGAGGAGCGGAGCUGCUCAU
rnacentral:lncRNA from 1 species